rnacentral:ncRNA from 1 species
UACCUGGUUGAUUCUGCCAGUAGUCAUAUGCUUGUCUCAAAGAUUAAGCCAUGCAUGUCUAAGUAUAAGCAAUCUAUACGGUGAAACUGCGAAUGGCUCAUUAAAUCAGUUAUCGUUUAUUUGAUAGUACCUUACUACUUGGAUACCCGUGGUAAUUCUAGAGCUAAUACAUGCUAAAAACCUCGACUUCGGAAGGGGUGUAUUUAUUAGAUAAAAAACCAAUGCCCUUCGGGGCUCCUUGGUGAUUCAUAAUAACUUAUCGAAUCGCAUGGCCUUGCGCCGGCGAUGGUUCAUUCAAAUUUCUGCCCUAUCAACUUUCGAUGGUAGGAUAGUGGCCUACCAUGGUGGCAACGGGUAACGGGGAAUUAGGGUUCGAUUCCGGAGAGGGAGCCUGAGAAACGGCUACCACAUCCAAGGAAGGCAGCAGGCGCGCAAAUUACCCAAUCCCGAUACGGGGAGGUAGUGACAAUAAAUACUGAUACAGGGCUCUUUCGGGUCUUGUAAUUGGAAUGAGUACAAUCUAAAUCCCUUAACGAGGAACAAUUGGAGGGCAAGUCUGGUGCCAGCAGCCGCGGUAAUUCCAGCUCCAAUAGCGUAUAUUAAAGUUGUUGCAGUUAAAAAGCUCGUAGUUGAACCUUGGGUCUGGCUGGCCGGUCCGCCUCACCGCGUGCACUGGUCCGGCCGGACCUUUCCUCCUGGGAAGCCCCAUGGCCUUUACUGGCUGUGGGGGGAACCAGGACUUUUACUGUGAAAAAAUUAGAGUGUUCAAAGCAGGCCUUUGCUCGGAUACAUUAGCAUGGAAUAAUAGAAUAGGACGUGUGGUUCUAUUUUGUUGGUUUCUAGGACCGCCGUAAUGAUUAAUAGGGAUGGUCGGGGGCGUCAGUAUUCGGCUGUCAGAGGUGAAAUUCUUGGAUUUGCUGAAGACUAACUACUGCGAAAGCAUUCGCCAAGGAUGUUUUCAUUAAUCAGUGAACGAAAGUUAGGGGAUCGAAGAUGAUCAGAUACCGUCGGGUAGGUAUUAGGAAAUUCCUGAUAUCAGAA